AAAGAGACUGUAGAAGAGCUCUCUUUGGGAAAGAUUUUUUAUGCGAUCGUUUAUCCGCCUUGACUCCUCAUGUGUGUUCUUUCAUUUCUAUCACUCUUAUUUUAUAUUUAUGCUCUUUCAUUGAGGACAAUGUAUGUUUUAAGUGUGGGGGAGAGAACCAUUUAUUUGUUUUGUUUUCUUUGUUUUGUUUUCUUUGUUUUGUUUUCAG
rnacentral:lncRNA from 1 species